GGGCCGCUCAGCUCAGUCAGUUGAGCGUAGCACUAACAACACUAAGGUCGUGGGUUCGAUUCCCAUUCGGUCCC
rnacentral:tRNA from 1 species